ACGGCGGUUCGUUCUCUCACUCACUGACUCCGUGAUUCUGCUUUCCAGGGUUUCUCCUAUGAGAGUUAAGAAGUGAACCCCAAUCAAGAAAAAACAUUUGUAACCCCGGUUACUUAAUUUGAAACCACCGCCUUGGGGCAGACGUCAAGCUGGCGACCGGAGCAGGAAAGAAGGAGGAAGAGGAGGAGCAGCCUGCAGCAGCAGUAGUGAAGGAGGAAGAGGAGGAGCAUGUGGUGGAGAAGGUUUUGGACCGCAGAGUGGUGAAGGGAAGAGUAGAGUUUCUGCUGAAAUGGAAGGGGUUCUCAGAUGAGGAGAACACAUGGGAGCCACAAGACAACCUGGACCUGGACCUUAUCACCGAGUACCUGCAGAAACACGAGGAGACGGAGGAGAAGAAGAAGGAGGAGGGCAAGAGGAAAGGUGUCAGGGAGGAGGAGAAACAAAGAGUGCCAACCAAUCCCCUAAGUCGGAGAGGCUGAUGACCCCUACAGAUACUAGAUCAAGGUCAACUGGGAGUCAAACACUCCCACAAAGAAAAGUUUCCAGCUCCACCAAUCCCAGACCAUCCCCCCGUUGUUCCUGCCUGGCUCAAGGCCGCCAACAAAAAGGCCACACAGGAGUCCUCAGCAGACGUCAAGCUGGCGACCGGAGCAGGAAAGGAGGAAGAGCAGGGGCCUGUAGCAGUGAAGGAGGAGGAGGAGCCUGCAGCAGUGAAGGAGGAAGA